AGGGGGCUAGGGCCGAGGGCAGGCGGCAAUGUCUGUGGAGAAAGAGGUUCCGUUCAAGUUUUCACAUCCGGGCUCGAAAGUACGGAGUAAGCAGUUUAGGGGGCCGCGGGGACGAAGUAAGACCCGGACACCCGGCGCACGGAACAAGGCCCACGUCCACAGGCGAUCGCAACCAGAGCCUUACUGCAAGAAGGCACAAGUGCAAGAGAAAGAAAAGGUGUGGACGCCCUGGAAUGGGCUCAUCGUGAUUGGGAAGAGAGUGGAACUUUUGGACAGAAACCUGCAAAAGUCUAAACUGUGGGACUCAAAGUUGGAAUCUGAGAACUGGAAGCUGGAAGUCGUCGGGAGGAAGAUUUCGAAAGAGAGAUCGGGCCUGCAUCAGGAAAGAGUGGACACGAAGCUCUUGAACAGUGUAGGAAAGACAUCACAAGCUUCAGCAAGUUUGGAGGAUGACAACUCAGAAGAGAUUCCGGGACAGCAGGAGGACAGACUCAAAGCUAGAUCUGUGUCUAAUAGUACCGAGAUGAAAGCAGAGCCUGAAGAAAGACUGCCAUCUAAGGACAAGUUGAGGACUAGUGGAGAGGACUUGAGGUCCAGAGGGGAUCAACCGAGGCAGAAUGAGGAGUUGGAAUCGAGUGGAGAGAACUUGAUGUACAAGACAGAGAAACGGGUGUCCAUGGGAGAGAAGGUGGAGGGCAGGAGAGAGAAGCGGAGGUCUGUUGUAGAGAAAAUGGACAGUCGAGAGAAACGGGGCUCCGUCAGAGAGAAGGUGCCAGGCAGUGGAGAGAGACGGGGCUCUAUCAGAGAGAAGGUGCCAGGCAGUGGAGAGAGACGGGUCUCUAUCAGACAGAAGGUGUCAGACAGGCGGAGAUCAAUCAAAGAGGUAUCAGACAAUGGAGAGAAACGGGGGUCCAUCAGAGAUAAGAUGUCAGACAGGAGGGGGUCCAUCAGAGAGAAGGUAUUGAACAGUGGAGAGAGGCGGGGGUCCAUCAGAGAGAAGGCAUUGGACAGUGGAGAGAAACAGGGGUCCAUCAGAGAGAAAGCAUCCAACAGCGGAGAGAAACGGGGCUCCAUCAGAGAGAAGGUGUCUGACAGUGGAGAGAGGCGGGGGUCCUCCAAAGAGAAGGCGAGGUCAAGUGAUGAAAAGCUGAGGUUGAGUAGAGAGAAAUUAAGGUCCAGUGAAGAGAAGCCUAGGACUGAUGAUAAAAAUCUGAGAUCUACUGAAGAUAAACUGGAGUCAGAUAUUGAGGAAGUACAAUCCGAUGAGAUGAAGCAGGAAGAACAUUCACAAACGAGUAGUACAACAGAAGAGAAUAUUGAAAGAGUGAUAAAUAUUACUGGUGAUGAAAGUGUGAUGGAAAAUAUGAGUCUGAAACAGAUUCCUUCUGAAAGUGUAGAAGGGAGAGAUGAACAAAAGGGAGCAGAGGAAGGGGUAGAAAUUAACAAAUUUGUCUUGGAUGAAAUGGAAGAUACUGCUGAUGACUCUGUUCCUAUGGAAGAGAAAGACACAAUUGGAAAAGGCUCUGGUGAAUCAGGUGGAUGAACAAUUGAAGACCUGUGUCUACCUGAGAGCAUCAUUUGAAGAUUCCUCUGGUGACUCUCUGUGAGCUGAGGUAUUGUCAGCUCUUUAAGAGACACCUUCUUAGGCUCAAGAUCAAGACAACAUUUGCCAUAUAUGGGAAAUGACCUACAUAUCAGGAUACAGAGAUUCUGUCUUUGGCUGGGUGAGUUCUUUGCCUGAGCUGUCAGAUGCAUUCCACCAAGACCACAGACACCAGUGAAGAUCAAGUUAUUAUGACAAAUGCCAACUGCCUGCAGGAUACCCAAACACACCAGUGGACAAAGACCCACUCCCUCAGAGGAGCCACUCAGUCCAAGGCAUUUGGAAACCAGAAGACAACAGAGAUUUUUAUUAACCAUUGAACAGACUCCCUCUCUAAGUUUCUGGUAUGUGGAUUAUUAUUGUCUCAAAUUUUGCUGCUGCUCAAGAAUUUUUGACAUAGCCAGGAAAAAACCCAGACUCCGGGCCUGUUCCUCCCCUUGUCUUAGUACUUCAGACGGUGGACUCGGACUUGGUGUUAAAAAAUUUACAAGCCCAUCUGGUCAAAGAGUAUAUCAGUAGGACCCACUGCCACUUAGCCACACCCAGACAGUCACUGUCAUCUGGCUUACCAAGAAAAACGGGAC